UUCACAAACAACCGCACGUCUGCCGCGUUCUGCCGUGCGUAGGAUCAAUGCUACGUGUAUGUAUUAACAUAUGUUUAGACGCUGAGAAUUCUGCGAGAAGUACUCCUUUAUUGUCAACAGCAGUAAGGGUUAUUUUCGUCGACUCGUUUAUUAUGGAUGAAAUGCCUAGUAACAAAACUUCUGCAAUCUUUUUAAAUUUAUUGAUUAGAGUUAAUUAGAUGUAUAAAAUAAUGUAUAAAAACUGUUCAGCCCAUGUUAUUACAUACGUUUUCAGACAUUAUUUGUGCAAAAUCAGGUGUUCCUACCCAUGAUUCAGUGCAUAAAAGCUCUUGGCCAAGUCGUCUAUUGAUUAAGGGGGCUGCUCGCAAAAUAAUUUUUCUGUUUUUCUUUGUAACAUUUAUUCAUCCUGCGAAGAGCAUCGAUUGUACCAAAUUUGAUAUUAUUUAGGCAAAUAGAUUUUAAAUAAAUCGCUAUCAAAGUUUGGUUUUUUUCAAUUUUGCAUUAUACAAAUCUUGAAAACGGGGUAAGAUAUGUCAAUGAAAUUUGGUAUAACUGAAGUAUGUUAAGUAAUCUAUUGAAGAGAUUAAAUGAAAUUGCUCAUAAAUUGUUACGAAAAAAGUGUGCAGGCAUGUAAUUAAGUAAUUUUUCAUAAGACUAUAUAAACGUCAUGGUAAUACUUAUAAGAAAAUGAGAACAUGCACGAAAUGCGUUUGGAUUUCAUUUUAUUAUUCAUGUUUCACAAUGCUGGAUUGUAAUAAAAUUUCAGCAGAUUUGUAGGAUGCAAGCAGUGCAUGUAUUUUUUGCCCCUGGCAUUCUGAGAAUAUAUCGAAUGCAGCCCGCAGCACUGGAGGCGCCGCGGUGUCUGGUGUUAUCGCGUCUGGAGCCAGCGCAGCUGGCCUCGUGGCGCGCGCUGUUGCCGCUGCCAGCAGGGCAGCAGCCCGUAGCUCCACUCGUGCGGCUUGUAUCGCUCAGUGUGCAACACAAACUAGUGGUUUUUUUCCGCGUUUGAGUAGAUUUUAUUUUAUUUUGUUUCCAAAUGGCCCCACAAAAAUUUGUCAAUGGGCGGCCUUAUAAGAAAACAAAAAAAAAAAACAAGAAAGCUAGGAUUAAAAAGAAAUUUCACGCAGAGUGAAAAUUAAAAAAUUAUAUUUCACAACAAUGUGACGGUUCGGAUUCAAAAUUGUGCGCACCUACCGCAUCUACUUCCGAAUGCGUGAAAUUUACUGUUUCUACAGCAUCUACUUCCGGUGAAUGUGAAAUGUACCAAGAAUCUGCAGAUAAGCGUGCUGACAUCAUUCUCCAAGACCUGCCUUCAUCGCCUACGAAUUCUAUUAAUAGUAGUGGCGUUGAUUAUAAUCCAGCCUUAGAUUGGGUUGGCGUGGAAAUAGACGACGAUGAGUUUCCGCCACUAAUUGUUGAAAAUGAUACCACAAAAAGAAGUUUAGACUCUGUUAUUCAGGGACGUCGGAUUGUCAAUCCAAGUUUUCUUCUUCCUCAACUUGAAGCAGUGGGAAAACAUUCCCUUUCAUGCACAACUGGGUGUCUCCGGUUGCGAAAUGAAUCGAGGAGAGGCCUUCACUGUGUGUGGGAAUAUUACUGCGAAGUAUGUGGGAAAAUCCAAUACGUCACGACAGAUGAAAACACAGUACAGAACAAACCUGAAAUAAAUACGCUCUUGGUUUGGGGAACGUUAUCAUCUGGUUUUGGAUUUACUCAAAUUCAAGAGGUUAUGGGUGUGUUAGACGUGCCAGUUAUGUAUUCCUCUUGUUUUAGGCAAAAUGAAAAAGAAAUUGGAAAGGUGUGGGAGGAGCACUUGGCACUAAAAAUGAAAAUGGCUGGAGAGGAAGAAAGAAAAAUAGCUAUACAAAAAGGUCAUAUUGUAGAUGGUGUACCAUACAUAACAGUUAUUGGAGAUGGCGGUUGGGCAAAGAGGAGCUAUGGCCAUGGCUACAAUUCUGCUUCUGGUGUGGUGAGUUCGAUAAUUGAGAUAUCUUUUACGUUAUCGUAUACUCGUGGUCGAGUGGGCAGUACAAUAUUUUAAGUUAUAUCAGGCGUUAGACCUAGUAUUAGUAAAAACAUGCAAAAUAUAGUAUCAGAAAUGAUACCACUAUAAUUUAAAUAUAUGUACUCAACGGUAUAUGCAGAUUUAUUAUACUUUAAAUUACUCUUAAUGUUUUAUA